rnacentral:rRNA from 1 species
AACGAACGCUGGCGGCAUGCCUAACACAUGCAAGUCGAACGAGACCUUCGGGUCUAGUGGCGCACGGGUGCGUAACGCGUGGGAACCUGCCCUUAGGUUCGGAAUAACUCCCCGAAAGGGGUGCUAAUACCGGAUAAUGUCUUCGGACCAAAGAUUUAUCGCCUUUGGAUGGGCCCGCGUUGGAUUAGCUAGUUGGUAGGGUAAAAGCCUACCAAGGCGACGAUCCAUAGCUGGUCUGAGAGGAUGAUCAGCCACACUGGGACUGAGACACGGCCCAGACUCCUACGGGAGGGAGCAGUGGGGAAUAUUGGACAAGGGGCGAAAGCCUGAUACAGCAAUGCCGGGUAAGUGAUGAAGGCCUUAGGGUUGUAAAGCUCUCUUACCCGGGAUGAUAAUGACAGUACCGGGAGAAUAAGCUCCGGCUAACUCCGUG